GAUGAACGCUGGCGGCAUGCCUAAUACAUGCAAGUCGAACGAUCACUUCGGUGGUAGUGGCGCACGGGUGCGUAACGCGUGGGAAUCUGCCCUUGGGUUCGGAAUAACGUCGGGAAACUGACGCUAAUACCGGAUGAUGACGUAAGUCCAAAGAUUUAUCGCCCAGGGAUGAGCCCGCGUAGGAUUAGCUAGUUGGUGGGGUAAAGGCCUACCAAGGCGACGAUCCUUAGCUGGUCUGAGAGGAUGAUCAGCCACACUGGGACUGAGACACGGCCCAGACUCCUACGGGGGGCAGCAGUAGGGAAUAUUGGACAAUGGGGGCAACCCUGAUCCAGCAAUGCCGCGUGAGUGAUGAAGGCCUUAGGGUUGUAAAGCUCUUUUACCCGGGAUGAUAAUGACAGUACCGGGAGAAUAAGCCCCGGCUAACUCCGUGCCAGCCGCCGCCGUAA
rnacentral:rRNA from 1 species